GGAGGAAAAGAACUAACAAGGAUUCCCCCAGUAACGGCGAGUGAACAGGGAAAAGCCCAGCACCGAAGCCUGUGGCCAGUUGGUCAUUAGGCAAUGUGGUGUUUAGGUCGUUCCGCAGAAGCGCUGCUCCACCCCAAGUCCAUCAAUGAGUACGGUAGUACAGACAUGGCCCAUGGAGGGUGAAAGGCCCGUUCGGGUGGAGAUUCGGCAGGCCAGUGCUUCUCUGGGUAGACCUUGGAGUCGGGUUGUUUGUGAAUGCAGCCCAAAGUGGGUGGUAAACUCCAUCCAAGGCUAAAUACAAGCACGAGUCCGAUAGCGAACAAGUACCGUGAGGGAAAGUUGAAAAGUACUUUGAAGAGAGAGUUAACAGUGCGUGAAACCGCUCAGAGGUAAGCAGGUGGAGUUGAACUGCAAGCUUGGAGAAUUCAGCUGGUGAGGUUGGUUUGAGCUUGGUCAAAUUGGUUGUGCCCCGAAGUACGUAAAACCACGUGUCCUUUCCCUUUGGGUUGGGAUGUGCGAUACACUUAUCAAGUGUUGCAUGCUUUGGGUGUUCAUCGGACCUCCUUGCCAGUGCACUUUCUCGGAGUGGUCACCACGACCGGCGCCGCUGUCAGACUGUCAUAGUUAAACCGGUCUUGUAGUGUCCUUGUGGCAUUGCCUGGUCGGGAUGGCAGGUAGCUUGUUGGCUUGCUUCGGCUUGCUUUCGAGUGUAAUCAGCUGACUGUGACGGUUCUGUGCAGUGCGUCGGAGACGGCGGUCAGUGGUGUGUGCAUGCGUGCCCGAUUUGUUGGCGUAUCCUGGUUUGGUUUCUGUGUUGCCUGUGUCAGCAGGCCUAGUUAUGGCCGGGGUUCGUUCGGCGGAUGGUUGCGUGUGUGACACUUCCAAGGGCCAAUAGUCUGUGGUGUAGUGGUAGACUAUCCACCUGACCCGUCUGAAA
rnacentral:rRNA from 1 species